rnacentral:sRNA from 1 species
AUAGAACAAAUCCACAUUAGACUAAUUACAUACCGCUAUUACGAAAAAAUAAACUAGAUUCACGGCGAUUUGUUAUCUGCUUUAAAAGUAAGAUAAUUUAUACAUCUAGGGUUGCCUGAAUUUUCAGCCCUAUACUAGUUGGAAUCUCAACUUUCCAUCCUAAAUUUUUAGCCACUUGAAAAACCACCAUAAACAAUUUUAAUCUCGAUAAAACUACAUGUACUUUCAGAUUUGUUCUUAAAACUACACCUCCAAUUGAACCGACCAGUUAACCAAAAAUUAUACAUCCGGUUUGACUUACCCAAAAUUUAACCGAACUUAUUCGAUUUCGACUCUAUUUUAACCCAAUUUAGACUCAAAAAAUAUAUUCUCUAGAAGAAAAAUACUUUUUAUUUAUUUUU